rnacentral:rRNA from 1 species
AAAUUGAAGAGUUUGAUCAUGGCUCAGAUUGAACGCUGGCGGCAGGCCUAACACAUGCAAGUUGAACGGUAACAGGAAGCAGCUUGCUGCUUUGCUGACGAGUGGCGGACGGGUGAGUAAUGUCUGGGAAACUGCCUGAUGGAGGGGGAUAACUACUGGAAACGGUGGCUAAUACCGCAUAACGUCGCAAGACCAAAGAGGGGGACCUUCGGGCCUCUUGCCAUCAGAUGUGCCCAGAUGGGAUUAGCUUGUUGGUGAGGUAACGGCUCACCAAGGCGACGAUCCCUAGCUGGUCUGAGAGGAUGACCAGCCACACUGGAACUGAGACACGGUCCAGACUCCUACGGGAGGCAGCAGUGGGGAAUAUUGCACAAUGGGCGCAAGCCUGAUGCAGCCAUGCCGCGUGUAUGAAGAAGGCCUUCGGGUUGUAAAGUACUUUCAGCGGGGAGGAAGGUGUUG